GGGGAAUAUCAAUAUUUCUUGUCACUAAUCAAUUAUCAGUCUUUCAAUGAUUUGACCAUGACCCUUGAGUAUCUAUUGUGCUAGUUGUGCUUGGAGGAGACAGAGAAGAAGACAUGAUCUCUAUUCCAAGAGCCCAAGGUGUAAUACAAGGUGAAAAAAUAAAUCACAAGGAAAGUGACAUAAAGGACCUUGGGAAGAAGAGAGAAAUUUCAGCUUCCAGGUAGGUGGGGGUAAAGGAAAACUAAGAAAGACUUCAUGGAAGAUGUUAACUUGGAUACCUGAGGCUAAGGGGGCCAGGUACUCUUUUAUGGAAUAGUCAAAGAUGACCUCACUGAGAAACCAACAUUUGAACAAUGAUUCAAAGAGAAUAAAUUAUGUGGCUCUCUAGAGGAAGAAUGCUCCAAGUGGAGGACAAACCCUCUGAGGUUAAGUGUGUUGUGGUAUUUUUACCAAACACUAGGGAGGCCAUGUGGCUGGAGCAGAGGGAGGAGAGGAAGAGAGAACGAUAAUAUAUGAAAAUAGAAAAGGACUAGAUCAUGUAGGAACUAGUGAGCUGUUAUAAGGACUUUGACUUUUACUUAAAAUUAAAUGGAAAGCAAUCUGAGCAUUUUGAGUGGAGUAAUGAUACAAUCUGAC
rnacentral:lncRNA from 1 species